rnacentral:rRNA from 1 species
UACGGAGGGGGUUAGCGUUGUUCGGAAUGACUGGGCGUAAAGCGCGCGUAGGCGGAUCAGGAAGUUGGGGGUGAAAUCCCGGGGCCUCAACCCCGGAAUGGCCUUCAAAACUCCUGGUCUUGAGUUCGAGAGAGGUGAGUGGAAUUCCGAGUGUAGAGGUGAAAUGCGUAGAUAUCUGGAGGAACACCGGUGGCGAAGGCGGCAUCCUGGACCGGCAUUGACGGCUGAGGCGCGACAGCGUGGGGAGCAAACAGG